UGACCGUUCCGCAAGAUCGGAAACUAAGGCCAUACGGACAGCCGGGCAACUGCCGA
rnacentral:sRNA from 12 species